rnacentral:rRNA from 1 species
ACGCUAGCUACAGGCUUAACACAUGCAAGUCGAGGGGCAGCAUUUCAGUUUGCUUGCAAACUGGAGAUGGCGACCGGCGCACGGGUGAGUAACACGUAUCCAACCUGCCGAUAACUCGGGGAUAGCCUUUCGAAAGAAAGAUUAAUACCCGAUGGUAUAAUUAGACCGCAUGGUCUUGUUAUUAAAGAAUUUCGGUUAUCGAUGGGGAUGCGUUCCAUUAGGCAGUUGGUGAGGUAACGGCUCACCAAACCUUCGAUGGAUAGGGGUUCUGAGAGGAAGGUCCCCCACAUUGGAACUGAGACACGGUCCAAACUCCUACGGGAGGCAGCAGUGAGGAAUAUUGGUCAAUGGGCGCAGGCCUGAACCAGCCAAGUAGCGUGAAGGAUGACUGCCCUAUGGGUUGUAAACUUCUUUUAUAUGGGAAUAAAGUUCUCCACGUGUGGAAUUUUGUAUGUACCAUAUGAAUAAGGAUCGGCUAACUCCGUGCCAGCAGCCGCGGUAAUACGGAGGAUCCGAGCGUUAUCCGGAUUUAUUGGGUUUAAAGGGAGCGUAGGUGGACAGUUAAGUCAGUUGUGAAAGUUUGCGGCUCAACCGUAAAAUUGCAGUUGAUACUGGCUGUCUUGAGUACAGUAGAGGUGGGCGGAAUUCGUGGUGUAGCGGUGAAAUGCUUAGAUAUCACGAAGAACUCCGAUUGCGAAGGCAGCUCACUGGACUGCAACUGACACUGAUGCUCGAAAGUGUGGGUAUCAAACAGGAUUAGAUACCCUGGUAGUCCACACAGUAAACGAUGAAUACUCGCUGUUUGCGAUAUACAGUAAGCGGCCAAGCGAAAGCAUUAAGUAUUCCACCUGGGGAGUACGCCGGCAACGGUGAAA